GACGAACGCUGGCGGCGUGCUUAACACAUGCAAGUCGAACGGAAAGGCCCUGCUUUUGUGGGGUGCUCGAGUGGCGAACGGGUGAGUAACACGUGAGUAACCUGCCCUUGACUUUGGGAUAACUUCAGGAAACUGGGGCUAAUACCGGAUAGGAGCUCCUGCUGCAUGGUGGGGGUUGGAAAGUUUCGGCGGUUGGGGAUGGACUCGCGGCUUAUCAGCUUGUUGGUGGGGUAGUGGCCUACCAAGGCUUUGACGGGUAGCCGGCCUGGGAGGGUGACCGGCCACAUUAGGACUGAGAUACGGCCCAGACUCCUACGGGGGGCAGCAGGGGGGAAUAUUGCACAAUGGGCGGAAGCCUGAUGCAGCAACGCCGCGUGCGGGAUGACGGCCUUCGGGUUGUAAACCGCUUUCGCCUGUGACGAAGCGUGAGUGACGGUAAUGGGUAAAGAAGCACCGGCUAACUACGUG
rnacentral:rRNA from 1 species